rnacentral:rRNA from 1 species
UACGAAGGGGGCUAGCGUUGCUCGGAAUCACUGGGCGUAAAGCGCACGUAGGCGGAUCUUUAAGUCAGGGGUGAAAUCCCAAGGCUCAACCUUGGAACUGCCUUUGAUACUGGGGAUCUCGAGUCCGGAAGAGGUGAGUGGAACUGCGAGUGUAGAGGUGAAAUUCGUAGAUAUUCGCAAGAACACCAGUGGCGAAGGCGGCUCACUGGUCCGGUACUGACGCUGAGGUGCGAAAGCGUGGGG